CAAAAAAAAAACUGCUUCUGAAACAUGAAGAGCAUCAGAUGUUCCGUUGUUGUUAGUACCAUUGCAAUAAUUUUCUUAUUGGUCGCUACAGAACAAGUGAACGCAUUCACAAUUAUUGGUGAUUGUUUUGGACCCUGCACUGACGCUUGUGAACAUAUUUGCAAGUCGAAAGGUUAUAAAGAAUCGUUUUGUGGAUCUUUUAGAGACAAGACUGGUUGUUGCUGCAGACCACCAAAGAACCAAAUAUUUGGGCAAUCCGUUAAUUUCAACAACUAAAUGUCUUUCAGAGUAUUUUUUACUUUGUAUGAUCAUAAAAACAUUAAAUAAGGGUUUUAAGAAUUAAUAGAAUAAUUUUUACCUUUAUAAUAUAUCAUGGUGAAAGCUAAACGUGGUAAGAAUGAAUAAAUAUUUGCAGUGAUCUUUUAACACCACACA